GAUGAACGCUGGCGGCGUGCCUAAUACAUGCAAGUCGAGCGAACAGAUAAGGAGCUUGCUCCUUUGACGUUAGCGGCGGACGGGUGAGUAACACGUGGGUAACCUGCCUAUAAGACUGGGAUAACUUCGGGAAACCGGAGCUAAUACCGGAUAACAUUUGGAACCGCAUGGUUCUAAAGUGAAAGAUGGUUUUGCUAUCGCUUAUAGAUGGACCCGCGCCGUAUUAGCUAGUUGGUAAGGUAACGGCUUACCAAGGCGACGAUACGUAGCCGACCUGAGCGGGUGAUCGGCCACACUGGAACUGAGCGACGGUCCAGACUCCUACGGGAGGCAGCAGUAGGGAAUCUUCCGCAAUGGGCGAAAGCCUGACGGAGCAACGCCGCGUGAGUGAUGAAGGGUUUCGGCUCGUAAAACUCUGUUAUUAGGGAAAAACAAAUGUGUAAGUAACUGUGCACGUCUUGACGGUACCUAAUCAGAAAGCCACGGCUAACUACGUGCCAGCAGCCGCAGUAA
rnacentral:rRNA from 1 species